rfam:Ophiophagus hannah scaffold2138.1, whole genome shotgun sequence.
GCCAAUUUGGUCUAGUAGUUAAGGUAGCAGUCUAGAACUCUGGAGACUGUGAGUUCUAAUCUCACUUUAGCCU